GAUGAACGCUGGCGGCGUGCCUAACACAUGCAAGUCGAACGGAGUUUAGAUGAAACCUAGUGAUUCUAAACUUAGUGGCGGACGGGUGAGUAACGCGUGGGUAACCUGCCCUAUAGAGUGGGAUAGCAGUUAGAAAUGACUGAUAAUACCACAUAAGACCACAGUACGGCAUCGUACAGGGGUCAAAGAUUUAUCGCUAUAGGAUGGACCCGCGUCUGAUUAGCUAGUUGGUGAGGUAACGGCCCACCAAGGCGACGAUCAGUAGCCGGCUUGAGAGAGUGACCGGCCACAUUGGGACUGAGACACGGCCCAAACUCC
rnacentral:rRNA from 1 species